ACAGCCAAUAAGUUUCAGCUGCGCUAAAGGAAAUUCUGAGGCGAGUUUUGGCGACUUUUGGUGAAUUUCGGGAAAGGUUCAAGAGACGACGAGGCGAGCAUAGUUAAGAGUAAUCCGUAAGAGGUACAGACGAUUGGUUUGCUGAUCCGCUCGCUUAGGACAUCCACCAUGUUGGUCGACAGUGCUCCUUUGUCCGGAGCCCUAUUUUGGUACUGACACUUUCUGUUGUAUAUGUAUAUACGUUGUUCAGGGG